GGAAAAUUAUGAUAAUAAUAUUAUAUAUGAUUUCAGAAAUAAUGUUAUAUAAGCAUUAUUUAUAAUACCGUGAAGAAAAGUUAUGGGUUAAAUAUACAACAACUAAGUAAUUAACAUUAACGCCUUCCCAACUCAAGGAAAUUACAUAUUAAUCAAUGAAGUCGAAAAUUUAAGGAACAUAAAUUUUAAAAAAUAUUGAGAAAAUGAAAUUGCAUCAAUCUCUUGUCUGCAACGCAUGAUACCAAUGUCUAUCAAGUGAAAUAGACCGGACACCUCUUAUUCCCAUAACUUGCCAAGAUUGAACCGUCAGGGCCCACCCCUACAUCACAGUUGGCAUGCAUCCGAUGGCGCUUGCUGUCCCACGUGGACACCUUAAAUCGAAUGUUUGAUGUUACAUCUAAACGAAAGAUCACCAUCCCUUGAGAUCGAUCAUUCAAGAAUUCCAUCCAACGCUGGCUAUUCACAGUCAAGGUGGCCCCACUUAACACUCCAUACACAAUCGUAGUAUUCUUGGGCUCUUG
rnacentral:misc_RNA from 1 species